CGUCCGCGCGCGCGGGGCGGCCGCGGCCGUGAGCCUGCGCGUCAGGGCCGCCGGCCUCUUCUUCGCUGUUGGAGGUGAUAGGGGUCGAGGGGAGGGAAAAAGGGGCUGGCGUCAGCCCCCCCUGUGAGGUGGCCGUAGUGUGGACGAGUAAGAAGGGCUGAGUAAAGUGGACAAACACCUAGUUAGGAGAAGAGGGCAGGCCCGCAGCCGCCCUUCCGAGGAGGACUCGGGGCCUCGCGGGCACCGGAGGAGGUUCCUGGGCCUCGGAGGGCGGCCCCGGCGCGGGCGGGCGCGAGCGGGCUUGGGCGGGGGAGGGGAAGUGAGAGGUUGUUUAUGACCGGGGACUAAUCUCCGCGAGUCACAGCGCUCCCUCUGGGGAGUGCAGUUGAGGGGCUGUCCUCGCCCGGAGCCUCGCUUGGCCUCGGGGGAGCCACGAGAGGUGGGAGUUGGACUCGCAGCGGGCCAGGAGCCCUGUCAUUGGAGGACCCGCCAAAAAGGAAACAAACCCUCUUUUUCUUUAUCCGACCCCAAAUAGGGCCUGGGGAAGACUCACAUAUCGGUAAAUGGUUUGUUGCCCGUUUUAUUCUCUGGGAAAUACAACUGAUCCUACCAAAGAAAUACCUGUGUCAUGCCGUGUUUACUUAGAGCCAUAGAAUACCUGUUUCAGAGCUGAAGGGGACCUGAGCCCAUGAUAAUCCAUUACCUCGUGUGAAAGCGGAAAAACUGACUUCAGCUUGCCCAGAUGGCGCAGAGAAUGGGUUUCCCGUAACCCCGCCUGUGUCUUUCCUUCAGCCUCGUCCCAAAUGCCGUGGGAGGGAAGGCAUUCUCUGUCAAGCUGCUGUCACCUUACCUGAAGUAAGGAGUCCACGCCUGCAUGGCCGAGGAAAACAGUUUUCUCAAACACAUUAGUUGAAAAACUGAAGACACUGCCUAAAAUACAAGCUGAGUUAGAGACAGCCCUUGUAAGACUAGGCUCAAACUGUAAUACUGGCUCUUCUCAGGCCUUGAGCCUACUUGCCUUCAGAUUGGAACUUUACCAUCUGCUCUCCUGGUUCUCAGGCCUUCAGGGAAGACUAGAACUAUGCCACUGACUCUCCUGGUCUCCAGUUUUUCAACUUCAAAUCUUGGGAUUUAGUCUCCAUGAUCAUAAAAAGAAAUGGAAACUAAGUAACAUGAAUUAACAUAGUCCAGGGUCACAAAGCAAAAUGGAACAAGAACCUGGAUCUGAAUUCAGAGGCAGAAUGCUGGAGAUAGGGUCUUGUUCUGUCGCCCAGGCUUGGGUGCAAUGGCAUGAUCAUAGCUCACUGCAGCCUCGAACUCCUGAGUUCCAGUGAUUCUCUUGCCUCAGCCUCCCUUGUAGUUGGACUACAGGUACAAAUCAGCAUGUCUGGCUCUUGUUCUUUAACACAUGCUUGUAGCUCAAAACUAGUAGAAUUCCCUCUGAUACAUUUGUGAACCUCUGCUCCUACUACAAGUUUUAUGCUACUGAAGUCAGUUGCCUUUUUCUCAAACCUGCUUAUACCAGUUAAACUUGUUAUUGAAAUUAAUUAAUUAAAUAGGUAAACCAGUGAAAUAUGAAACAAAAGUCAGUCACUAAAGAAAUUACUGGCAAAUUAAGUGUAAGCAAAACAACUGCAAAAGUCUCAAAAAAGUGAGUAGAAAUUUACAGAUAUUUUGCUGGCAAAUGAAAUACAUUUGUAGUUUAAGUUAAAAUUUAAAAUUAAAGAUAUGUAUGUAUCAUUUUUAAAUUUCUCUGUUUAAAUUGACUUUUUCCCUUCACCAAUCACAAUACCAGUGUUGGAUAAGGGAACUUUCACUAUAUCCUGUGUUGUAUUUGUAUGGUACUUUUGAUCAUUCUUUUAAUAAAAGCACAAUCUAUCUAG